rnacentral:rRNA from 1 species
GACGAACGCUGGCGGCGUGCUUAACACAUGCAAGUCGAACGGAAAGGCCCUGCUUUUGUGGGGUGCUCGAGUGGCGAACGGGUGAGUAACACGUGAGUAACCUGCCCUUUACUUUGGGAUAACUUCAGGAAACUGGGGCUAAUACCUGAUAGGAGCUCCUGCUGCAUGGUGGGGGUUGGAAAGUUUCGGCGGUUGGGGAUGGACUCGCGGCUUAUCAGCUUGUUGGUGGGGUAGUGGCUUACCAAGGCUUUGACGGGUAGCCGGCCUGAGAGGGUGACCGGCCACAUUGGGACUGAGAUACGGCCCAGACUCCUACGGGAGGCAGCAGUGGGGAAUAUUGCACAAUGGGCGGAAGCCUGAUGAAGAAACGCCGCGUGCGGGAUGACGGCCUUCGGGUUGUAAACCGAUUUCGCCUGUGACGAAGCGUGAGUGACGGUAAUGGGUAAAGAAGCACCGGCUAACUACGUG